rnacentral:rRNA from 1 species
UACGUAGGGCGCAAGCGUUAUCCGGAAUUAUUGGGCGUAAAGAGCUCGUAGGCGGUUUGUCGCGUCUGCCGUGAAAAGUCCGGGGGCUCAACUCCGGAUCUGCGGUGGGUACGGGCAGACUAGAGUGAUGUAGGGGGAGACUGGAAUUCCUGGUGUAGCGGUGAAAAUGCGCAGAUAUCAGGAGGAACACCGAUGGCGAAGGCAGGUCUCUGGGCAUUAACUGACGCUGAGGAGCGAAAAGCAUGGGGGAGCGAACAGG